rnacentral:rRNA from 1 species
GAUGAACGCUGGCGGUAUGCUUAACACAUGCAAGUCGUACGAAGAUAAAAUUGUGCUUGCACGAUUUUAUACUUAGUGGCGGACGGGUGAGUAACACGUAAGAAUCUACCUUUUGGCGAGGGACAACCACUGGAAACGGUGGCUAAUACCUCAUAUAACUGAGAAGUGAAAGAUGAAAAUCACCAAGAGAUGAGCUUGCGUCUGAUUAGCUAGUUGGUAAGGUAAAGGCUUACCAAGGCGACGAUCAGUAGCUGGUCUGAGAGGAUGAUCAGCCACACUGGGACUGAGACACGGCCCAGACUCCUACGGGAGGCAGCAGUGAGGAAUUUUCCGCAAUGGGCGAAAGCCUGACGGAGCAAUACCGCGUGAAGGAUUAAGGCCUAUGGGUUGUAAACUUCUUUUCUCAGAGAAGAAUUUUGACGGUAUCUGAGGAAUAAGCAUCGGCUAACUCUGUGCCAGCU